rnacentral:misc_RNA from 1 species
UCUCCGUUGGUGAACCAGCGGAGGGAUCAUUACAGAGUUGCAAAACUCCCAAACCAUUGUGAAGGUUACCUAUCCCGUUGCUUCGGCGGGCGGCCCGGGCCCCGCGCCCGGCGCCCCCCGGCCCCCCGUGGGCGCCCGCCGGAGGUAAACCAAACCCUUGAAUUGCAUGGCCUCUCUGAGUCUUCUGUACUGAAUAAGUCAAAACUUUCAACAACGGAUCUCUUGGUUCUG